rnacentral:rRNA from 1 species
UCGAGAAUUUUUCACAAUGGGCGCAAGCCUGAUGGAGCGACGCCGCGUGGGGGAUGAAGGGCUUCGGCUCGUAAACCCCUGUCAUUUGCGAACAAACCUUGCUGGUGAAUAGCUUGCAAGUUGAUUGUAGCGAAAGAGGAAGGGACGGCUAACUCUGUGCCAGCAGCCGCGGUAAUACAGAGGUCCCGAGCGUUGUUCGGAUUCACUGGGCGUAAAGGGUGCGUAGGCGGUCGAGCAAGUCUGAUGUGAAAUCUCCAGGCUCAACCUGGAAAAGGCAUUGGAAACUGCCCGGCUGGAGGCUUGGAGGGGGGACUGGAAUACUUGGUGUAGCAGUGAAAUGCGUAGAUAUCAAGUGGAACACCAGUGGCGAAGGCGAGUCCCUGGACAAGACCUGACGCUGAGGCACGAAAGCUAGGGGAGCAAACAGG